GAUGAACGCUAGCGGCAGGCUUAACACAUGCAAGUCGAGGGGUAUGCCGAUUUAUCGGCAGAGACCGGCGCACGGGUGCGUAACGCGUAUGCAAUCUACCUUUCACAGAGGGAUAGCCCAGAGAAAUUUGGAUUAAUACCUCAUAGUAUAGCAAUUUCGCAUGAAACCACUAUUAAAGUUCCAACGGUGAAAGAUGAGCAUGCGUCCCAUUAGCUAGAUGGUAAGGUAACGGCUUACCAUGGCUACGAUGGGUAGGGGUCCUGAGAGGGAGAUCCCCCACACUGGUACUGAGACACGGACCAGACUCCUACGGGAGGCAGCAGUGAGGAAUAUUGGUCAAUGGACGCAAGUCUGAACCAGCCAUGCCGCGUGCAGGAUGACGGUCCUAUGGAUUGUAAACUGCUUUUGACGGAACGAAAGGUUUCUAUUAAUACUAGGAGCUCAUGACGGUACCGUAAGAAUAAGCACCGGCU
rnacentral:rRNA from 1 species